ensembl:lncRNA
CUCUUCUUCUGACAGAUGGGGCUGCAGAACUUGACUCUUGCUGGAAGCCUCAAGUUCAUCAGAAACAGUCGUGGCCCAUGUCUUUGAGGUUUGCUUCUAAGGUUAAGGUUCCAUAGCAAGUGGAGAAACCUUCAAUUGCCUUAGUGGAGUAAGAAGGACUAAGCAAAUCUCUAGUACAGAACCUUGCUGGGCUGAGAAGGAACCUCUCCUGCAGCCAAAGAGGGAGUAAGCAGAGGUCCCAGACCUCAGACCUGCCCUCUCACACCAGACCUUCUCUUCUGAGAAAAAGAGGAACCACCUAUUGCAAAUGGGCAGCAAAGGUAGCUGAGCAGUUACAGAGGCAGCGGUGCACAACCAAGCAGUGAGAGUGGCCAUGCCAUGGUGCGUCCCCCAAACGACACUCAGCACCUCAGCAUCCCACCUCCAGAACACUGAAAUGUGGCUGUGAGCAUCUGUGCUUUAUCUUAAUUUUGUGCCUCCAUUAGCAAGAGGUGUCCUAAGGUAACCGCCUCUUCACUCUAUAUCAUUUUAGCUUGCAAAGGUUUCAUGGAGAUAAUCUACUUUAGGAUAGCAAGUGAAACCUGAAUUCAGCUUUAAUGCAAAUUCCAAAAAGGUUAAUUAUCUUCUCCAAGGUCAAUAUUUGAAUUUGGGUUUGUCUGACAUGAAAUCCCAGGCUGUGUCCACACCAAAUAAGCCCUGGCUGAUGUCAUGAGCUUGAAUUUCUUAUCUGCAGACUUCAGUCCCAAAUGACAUGGUGUCCUGCACCCCUGGAAGAGAAAAAAAAUGGGAGAAUGGUUGCCAAGCAACCACGGCACCAGGAUGUCCUGAUUGCAGCGUGAUCGACUGGAAUCUGAUGUGUAUGUGUUAGUCGCUCAGUCGUGUCCAACCCUGCGACCCCAUGGACUGUAGCCCGCCAGGCUCCUCUGUCCAUGGAAUUCUCCAGCAAGAAUAUUGGAGAGGAUUGCCAUGCCCUCCUCCAGGAGAUCUUCCCAACCCAGGGAUCAACCCAGGUCUCCCGUAUCACAGGCAGAUUCUUUUCCAUCUGAGCCACCAGGGAAGCCCAAUUCACAGAAUCAACUUUGGGGAGCAACAAGGCUGCAGGUCUUUUCCCUACGCGAGUAUCGAGAAGAGGGCGGAGGCCGUCUUGGAGUGCGUGAGAGAAGGGCCAGCCUGGAGGGGCGUCAGCACACGGAGAGGAAGUGACGCAAUGGCUUUCUUUGUUUCCCGUGAUUCCCGCUUCUUCACACCACUGGUUUCCUGCAUUUUCCUACUGGGAGGGUGCCACACUUGUCCUGGGAGUCCCUGAGAAAAAGAGACCCAGCUUCUCACUAAUCAAUCAAUCGAUCACUUAACAUUUAUUUUUUUAAACCUUAUGGUCACUGAAGCCCACAUACAGCUCCCCUUCCCCCACAAGGGUCUUCAUCACACUCAGUGAGUGAUUCUUCAGUUUUUUAUUAUUUCUUCCAGCUUUAAUGUGGUUAAUUGGCAAAUAGAAAUUGCAUAUGUUUAGGUUGUACAAUGUGAUUCUUUUUAGGUGUAUGUUGUGGUGAUGCAGCAUACAUAUACGCUAUGAAAUGAUUACAUCAAUCGAGUUAAUUAAUGCACCUGUCACCUCACAUACUUAUCUUUGUGUAUGUGUGUGGUGAGAAUACUUAAGAUCUACUCUGUUCACCAAUUUCAAGUGUAUAGUUCAGUAUUGUUUACUCUAGUCACCAUGCUGUUCACUGCCCAGAAGUUAUUCAUCUUGUAACACAAAGCAUAUGCCCUGGAACCAACAUUUGCCCAUCUCCCACCCCAGUCUCUGACAACCACCACUGUAGUUGUCUGACUCUACAGAGUUUGACUUUUUAAAUUCCACAUAUCAGUGAGAUCACAAACUAUUUGUCUCUCUGUGUCUGGCUUGUUUCACUUUGCAUAAGGUUUUCCAGGCUCACCUAUGCUGUUGCAAGUGGAGUCUCCAUUUCUUCAUGACAUUUCUAAACAUUUGGAGAUAAAAUUCAUCUUGAAGCAGCUAUGGGGCUGC